rnacentral:lncRNA from 1 species
CAAGUUUUUGGGGAUUUUCGGCCAAAUCCAAAGGGUGAUUUUUUGGGUUCUUGUUUGACUUGUUAAAAGUGUUUUAAAGUGACUUUUGGAACCCCUAAGUACCCUAGGAUGUUAGCCCCAUUUUGAAUGGUGAAAAUUUGUGUUUUAUUGCUUGAAAACAUUCAUGGAACUCUUAUGGGUUUUCAUGGAUGUUCUUCAUUGUUCUUGAUGUUCUUGCCAAGAACAAAAAGGUUUGAUGUUUUGAUUCAAAGUUUUGGAUUAUUUCAUAAAGUCUUUGUUUUAUGAUUUAUCUUAUAUUUAAAUGUGUUAGAUAUUUAUUUAAAAGGUGUAAGAAAUAUUGGUGGGUGUGAAAGGAUUAAUUUCCUUUCACACACACCACUUGCAUGAAUUCAUGUCACAAAUAUCUUGCAAGGCUUUAUGACUUUGUUGAAAAAUUUCCAAAUUUUUGUGGACUUAUCUCCACUCCUUUUUUCUCCCUAAAACUGGCCACCCUAUUAAAAUAGGGUAUUUUUGGGGCUUUUAUGCAAUUACAUAAAGUUUUGAUACUUUUGUGUAUUUGUAUUUUGACCCGAAAGUUUACGUUUUGACGUUAAGGCCUAAAAACGCUAAAGGACAAAUUGUUUUGCUCCUUUAAUGAAGUUUUGAAUUUAUUGAAAUUUUUGGGUUCUAGUUGUAAUUACAUGAAGUAGUGGACUUUUGUGUUUUUACAAAGUGACCCCAAAAGUUUGUGUUUUCGCAAUAUAGCCCAAAAAGUUGUGGUUAUUGCAUGAUGGCCCAAAUUAGGUAGAGAACAAAAUUGUUUUGUUUCUUUAAAUGAGAAUUGGAUUUUCAUUUUAUUUAGCUCCAUUUAAAUCAAUUUUAUGGAUACAAAAACCAAAUGAAAAUGUUGCAUUCAAGUUUAAUUGGUUAAAGCGUUAAUUGAUUAAAGAAAGGGUGAUUAUGAACCUAAGCCUAAUAUAAUUGAGCUAUGUGAAAGGCCGUUUCAAAUUUGUUUGAACCAUGGGAAUGUGUAGAUUAGAUUUUGGUUGUAAUUUAAUUUGAUCAAAUGUUGUAAAAGAGCAUAAGCUCUUCUUUACUUUAAAGUAAUUUGUUUUAUUCAAAUGUUGUAAUGAGCAUAAGCUCAUCUUUACUUUGAAGUACUUCUUUCUUGCUUUAUAUGAUAUGCAUGAAAAUGAAGUAGUUGGGUCCAACGCCCCU